UGAUGACGAGACGCCAAGGCGUUGAAGUAGUGUAUGUCAGGCUUCCAAGAAAAGCUCGCAAUGUCAUAAAUAAAAGAUGCCUGUACCAUAACCGACACAGGUGGGUAGGUAGAGUAUACUAAGGGGCGCGAGAUAACUCUCUCUAAGGAACUCGGCAAAAUGACUCCGUAACUUCGGGAGAAGGAGUGCCUUAUUUAUAAGGUUGCAAUAACAAGAUCCAAGCAACUGUUUAUCAAAAACACAGGUCUCCGCUAAGUCGUAAGACGAUGUAUGGGGGCUGACGCCUGCCCAGUGCCAGAAGGUUAAAGAAGUUGGUUAGUUUUGACGAAGCUGAUAACUGAAGCCCUGGUGAACGGCGGCCGUAACAAUAACGGUCCUAAGGUAGCGAAAUUCCUUGUCGGGUAAGUUCCGACCCGCACGAAAGGCGUAAUGAUUUGGAUACUGUCUCGGAGAGAGGCUCGGUGAAAUAGACUUGUCUGUGAAGAUGCGGACUACCUGCACCAGGACAGAAAGACCCUAUGAAGCUUUACUGUAACUUGAAAUUGGAAUUGGACUUUGCUUGCGCAGUAUAGGUGGGAAGCGUUGAAAAUAUUCUUGAGGGAAUAUGGGAGCUAUCAGUGAGAUACCACUCUUGUAAUGUUAGAUUUCUAACUUUGAACCAUUAUCUGGUCAGAGAACAGUUUCAGGUGGGCAGUUUGACUGGGGCGGUCGCCUCCCAAAUGGUAACGGAGGCGUACAAAGGUUUCCUCUGAACGGGUAGAAAUCGUAUCUAGAGUGUAAAGGCAUAAGGAAGCUUGACUGUGAGACCUACAAGUCGAGCAGGGACGAAAGUCGGUCUUAGUGAUCUGACGGUACUGAGUGGAAAGGCCGUCACUCAACGGAUAAAAGUUACUCUAAGGAUAACAGGCUGAUCUCCCCCAAGAGUUCACAUCGACGGGGAGGUUUGGCACCUCGAUGUCGGCUCAUCGCAUCCUGGGGCGGUAGUACGUCCCAAGGGUUGGGCUGUUCGCCCAUGAAAGCGGUACGCGAGCUGGGUUCAGAACGUCGUGAGACAGUUCGGUCCAUAUCCGGUGUAGGCGUUAGAAUAUUGAGAGGAGCCUUCUCUAGUACGAGAGGACCGAGAAGGACAUACCGCUGGUGUACCAGUUAUCGUGCCAACGGUAAACGCUGGGUAGCUAUGUAUGGAGUGGAUAACCGCUGAAAGCAUCUAAGUGGGAAGCCCACCUCAAGAUGAG
rnacentral:rRNA from 1 species